rnacentral:misc_RNA from 1 species
GUUCAAUUCAGUUUCCAUUCUUAAGAAGGAUUGAAACUGGAACCCCACACACACACCAACUACUACGACGAGGAUUUUCACCAAUUUCAGUCUCAUUAAGUUUCCCGAUCAAACUCGAUAUCAAAUUGUCAUAUUUCUGGUCAUACUUGGCUCACCAUAAUGUGGAUUAAAGAUGAGACGCUGAAACCCUGCGCUAAUGGUUGGGUUGAAAAGCACGAGUCUUCCACUUGGAUGCAGAUUGAAGUCCAAUAUUUCCAAUGAAAUCAUCCGCAUAGUCAUAGAUUAUUCAAGACCUUCGGCAAAUACUAUAAUAGUAAUACAAUACAAUCAUAUUUACCUAACACAUGCUUAUUCUCUAAUCCAUGACUACACAAUCAGAACAACACAGCGGCAUUAAGAGGACCAGCCAACUACACAAGUACUAAUGGACAACCCACUCAAAUCCUAGUCACAGAUGACAGUAACUUGAAGCAACAAACAUCCUUAAUUUUUGCUGAGUGGAAACCCAACAUGAGAAAGAGCAAGAUGCCUUGAUUUGAAAAAUCAAACUGUAUACUCCAUUGAAUCCCAAUUACAAUGUCGUCUCCACAACUGCAACAAAAUGCACUCUGAUUGAAACCCAAACCAAGAAAUAUUUAGUAACAGAAACCGUGUAAAUGAUCGUAAUUUAACACAGACAGAUAAUACAAUUCAAUCAUCAGUGAAAAACAAAACAAAAGAUUGAAACAUCGUUAACUUAACACAGACAGAUAAUACAAUGCAAUCAUCGGUGACAAACAAAACAAAAGAUUGUAACUUCAAAUUUAGGUAAGGUCAUCCUCCUCCAAUUCCUUAGCCUUCAGCUUCUCUUUCACCCUUAAUAGAAGGGUUGUCUUCCAGGAAUCCAAUGGGGUCAUGCUGUCAAAUUCCUUGACAACAUCAGUAAACUUUGCAACAUCUUCCUCAUCAAUAGCAGCAGCGAUAUCCGCUAGGAGUCUGUAUUCUCUAGUUCCUGAAAAAGUUGGAUCCAGAUCCUGAUAUCGCUCUAAUGCAUUGGUUACAGCAACAACAUCGCCUUUGCAGAGGUGGCAAAUGCCAGCAUUCAGAAGAUGACCUUUGACACCAUACUUGAGCAAAUUAACGCCAAGUGAAUGUCGGGCAAUCUCUUCAUAAAUCUCAAUUGCCUUCUGGUAUCUGAAAAAAUAUCACAAACAAAUAUUCAAAUCCUAAAAACAACAAAUAAAUUCACUAUUAAAAAUUGCAUUGAUGAAAGAUCAUUCCCAAUCCAGAUAACUAUAAGAACCUGGGCUUUUGUUAUCAUGUAGAAAUAGCAUUUUUCUUGCAUUCUAUUACUUGGUCUCAGGCUAUAUUAAGCCUAUUGCACAAGUAAAAUAGGACAUCAUAUUUAUUUACAUUUAUGUUUAACUACUCCCAAAUUAAAAUUUCUGCAAACAGAAUUAUAUUAAAAGCAAUAAACAAUGUUAUUCAACAUAUCCAAGGACAGUAAGCAUAUCAAAUGUAAGGGGUGCAUCACAGUUCGGUAAACCGAAAAGCUGAACCGAUCCUACCUGUUUGCAUGAAAUCCAAAUAACCAUUCAUAAAUGCAACCGAAAAUUUGGUUAACCAACUUCACAAUUCACAUGUCAAUUAAUCACUUCAUCAGCUGGUUCAAAAACUCUGAACUAAUUUCUUUAUCAAAGUCAUCCUAAAAAUUUUUGGAAUUCAGCCCACUCCAUUCAGUCACUGGAUAUCUAGUGAAGGCUGCUCUUAAGGUGCAAAUGAAAAUGCAAAGGGACUGCCUCCGCUUAUACAAGUAGACAGCGCCUCCAAGGAAUGUUAAGACAUGGGACAACUCAUUCUUAGAAUAUGGCCAACACCAUGCUGUAGCCUGUAAGUAUCAACUCUAUCCCAAAUUUCUCAGGUUCAGGGAAAUUUUGAAUGUUAAUGUCCUUGUCUGCAUCUUUCUGAGAAUGCUUGUACAGAAACAAGCCUUGUGUGUGUUGCACAUAAUAAAAUGCCUAAUUUUUCAAAAUGCAUGCAGAAAAGAAAAUCAUAGCCACGUCAUGAAAGUGUGUUAAUAACAUAGCAGAAAGCUAGCAGCAUAUCAUGCUUAAUUUUACAUAAAUAGUAUACACAACCACAUUGAUGCCACCUUUUAAUUUCUAAGACUGAAAUCUCAUGCCAAGCAACCCACUGCAGCAAAAACAUCCGAUAUGGAUAGAAUCAGGAGGCAGGGAAUCUUUAUGAAGAAUGCAUGUAACAGCAUGAUAAUUGAGAAACAGAAUGGCAAGCUGCAAAAAGCAGACAUCCUUACUGUUCUAGUUGAGCAGCAAAUUGGGCUACUUUCUGCUUGCAUUGGUUAGCAGAAGUUGUUACUUCUUCACCUUGGAAGAAAUCAGCUGCCUUUUCAUAAAAGUCAAUAGCUUUCUCAAUAUUUGCUUCUGAUUCAUAUAAUUCAGCAAUUUCCUUGUAAUAUCUUGCAGCCAUACUGAUUCUCCCUAUAUCACAAAACAACUCUACUGCUUGGACUAAGCAAGAUAUUGCCUCUGCAUAAGGAGAAACUUCAAAAGAUUAGAGCCACAUGGGAAUGCAAAAUGGGGGUUAGGGGAGGGCAGAGAUGACCAUUACAUUACCACACUGUUAAGUUUCAUGAAUAACCUUAUAAUACUGUACCUAAACACAUGCCAAGUGCUUAUAAAAUGGAUACUAACUGCCAAACAGGAGAGGAACCAAAUCCCAGAACAAUGAAACAACAAAUCAGACAACCCCAUUUCUGCUUUCAACGCAAGGUUAGAUAGAGCCAUUUUUAUGCUUAAAAUGUCUCUUAGCAUCAUGAAGAACAAAACAUGAUAAAAAGAAAAAUUAGUUAAAAAAUUAUUUGCUCAUGUGCAGAGAAUGCACUAGUUUGGUAACGGUAAUGCAUGCAUGAUUGUCAAACAAAGGUGACUUAUUGCACAAUCACAAAUUCCCACUUCAACUCUCUAGUCUCUACUCUCUACCAUCACAACAUGCAAUUGAUAUUUCUACAUAAACAACAAUUAUUUUAAGGAACAUCCAGGUAGCUUUGGUUAUGAAUUGAAUUCGAUGCGCCAUUUCUCCUAAACAAAAAGCUCCAUUAUGCCUAUAGUUCAAAUGUUAUAAAAUAAUCCAUAGGACUACGUCUGAGUCUAUGACAUAAAACAUAAUGAGGGCUAAGUAUCACUGCACACCGUUCGUAGAUGUUUUCUUAUAACAGUGAGCAGCAUCAACAUAAGCUUGAGCAGCUUCAUGUUUACUAUCCAACUUCAAAUGACAGUUUGCCAACUUGACAUAAGUUGAUCCAGCUUUAUCCCAGGAUUUGGCAAGCUUGAAGGAA